UAUGAAACAUAGCGUUUUAAAUAUUAAACGCUAUUAGAAAAGCCAGCGUUGGUAUAUAGUAGCAGAAAUGUUAUAAACGCUAUCCUCUGAUGCUAUUAAUACCCACAUUUUCUGUAGUGAUAUUGUUGGCUUGUCUAAACUAGAACUCUAGACAUUUUACACCCGGAAGGUGUUUGAUAAAAUGUCUGAGCCAACUUAAUCUUGCUCUUUGCUUGCUUAACCAAAGACAUUUGAUGUUAGGAAAGUUUAGACAGUUAGUAGACCUGUUCUUAAUGAUUGCUUGAAUGAAACAAACCAAAGAUAUUUGAUGAUUGAU
rnacentral:lncRNA from 1 species